rnacentral:rRNA from 1 species
AUGGAGGGGUGGUUCAGCUUGUGUUUCGUAGCACUAGGUAUGCCGCUUGCCCUUUGGCUUCUCAAGCUCGCCGGCGGCAAGAACAAGCCACAGAAGCACCAGCUGCCGCCAGGGCCAUGGACUCUCCCGAUCAUGGGUAGCCUCCACCACGUAGUCAGCCUCGUCCCACACCGGAAAAUCACGCAGCUGUGUCGCCGAUAUGGGCCAAUGAUGCACCUCAAGCUAGGCGAGGUGGACGCCGUGGUGGUCUCCAGCGCCGAGGCGGUGGCCCAGGUGAUGAAGACCAACGACCUCACGUUUGCCACCCGGCCGGGCACCCCGACGCAGGACAUCGCCGGCUGUGGCGGCAGGGGCAUCAUCUUUGCUCCCUACGGCGACCACUGGCGCCAGAUGCGUAAGGUCUGCAUUGUGGAGCUGCUCAGCUCCGUGCAGGUCAGGCGCAUGGAGAGCAUCCGGCCAGAGGAGGUGGGCAACCUCCUGGCUGACAUCGCCACCGCCGCGGCGGCCCGCAACAGCAUCAACAUCAGCGAGAAAAUGAUGGAGCUCAGCAACAACGUCGUGUCGCAGGCGGUGUUCGGCGGCAGGUUCACGCAGCAGGACGAGUACAUCCACGAGCUGGACGUGGUGCUCACCCUGCUGGGCGGCUUCUGCCUCGUCGACCUCUUCCCGUCGUCACGGUUGGCACGGUGGCUCAGCUUUGGCGCGCGGCGCAUGAAGAAGAGCUACGGCCGCAUGCAGCGCAUCAUCGCCGACGUGAUUGAGGAGCGCAAGGCCGCGCGAGCUGCUGGUGAUGGGGCCUCAAGCACCGAUGACGAGGACCUGCUGGACGUGCUGCUCAGGCUACAGAACGAUGAUUCGUUGGAAUUCCCUCUAACCACAAAGAGCAUAUGCGCCGUCUUAUUUGAUAUAUUCUCUGGUGCCACAGAUACCACAGGAACAAUUUUGGAAUGGGCUAUGUCAGAGCUCGUCCGUCAUCCUGAAACAAUAUUUAAGUCUCAACUAGAGAUAAGAAAAGUAUUAGGUCAAGAUCGAACAACCAUAAAAAAUAGUGACCUUGGAAACCUCCACUACAUGCGAAUGGUCAUUAAGGAGGUUCUUAGGUUGCACCUACCAGCUCCACUAAUCCCACGGAUGGCCAGAAUGGAUUUAAAAUUAUGGGUUAUGAGCUGCUUAAAGGCACCACUAUAUUAA